rnacentral:rRNA from 1 species
UAAAUUGAGAGUUUGAUCCUGGCUCAGGAUGAACGCUGGCGGCGUGCUUAACACAUGCAAGUCGAGCGAUGAAGUUUCCUUCGGGAAACGGAUUAGCGGCGGACGGGUGAGUAACACGUGGGUAACCUGCCUCAUAGAGUGGAAUAGCCUUC